ensembl:snoRNA
AUUGGUUGAAAAUCACUUGACUUUGGCCAUGGCCACAGGUGAGAUUUGGCACCCAGAGCCACCAGUGGCCUUAGCUCACUGCCCACUUCUCCGUGUGGGGAGGUGAAACCCAGGCCCUGACAUGC